UACAGAGGUCCCGAGCGUUGUUCGGAUUCACUGGGCGUAAAGGGUGCGUAGGUGGCUUGGUAAGUUUGAUGUGAAAGCUCAGGGCUUAACCCUGAAAUGGCAUUGAAUACUACUGAGCUGGAGGUUUGGAGGGGGGACUGGAAUUCUUGGUGUAGCAGUGAAAUGCGUAGAUAUCAAGAGGAACACCAGUGGCGAAGGCGAGUCCCUGGACAACACCUGACACUGAGGCACGAAAGCCGGGGGAGCAAACAGG
rnacentral:rRNA from 1 species